rnacentral:rRNA from 1 species
AUACAGGGGGAUAACAGUUAGAAAUGACUGCUAAUACCGCAUAAGCGCACAGGAUUGCAUGAUCCCGUGUGAAAAACUCCGGUGGUAUGAGAUGGACCCGCGUCUGAUUAGCUGGUUGGUGGGGUAACGGCCCACCAAGGCGACGAUCAGUAGCCGACCUGAGAGGGUGACCGGCCACAUUGGGACUGAGACACGGCCCAAACUCCUACGGGAGGCAGCAGUGGGGAAUAUUGCACAAUGGGGGAAACCCUGAUGCAGCAACGCCGCGUGAGUGAAGAAGUAUUUCGGUAUGUAAAGCUCUAUCAGCAGGGAAGAAAAUGACGGUACCUGAGUAAGAAGCCCCGGCUAACUACGUGCCAGCAGCCGCGGUAAUACGUAGGGGGCAAGCGUUAUCCGGAUUUACUGGGUGUAAAGGGAGCGUAGACGGUGAUGCAAGUCUGAAGUGAAAGCCCGGGGCUCAACCCCGGGACUGCUUUGGAAACUGU